rnacentral:lncRNA from 1 species
GCUAAAUAUUGAGGAAGAUCUACGAAUGAAUUAAUAAAAUAUUAUAUUUAGACCAGUAAAACUCAAGUAGACAUUGAGUUUCUCAAUACGUUAAUCAAUCAUUUGUCAUCCUUUCUACAUAACAUAAUAUUAACAUCAUGCUCGUAUCGUUGUAAGAGGGUUGGCAAUACUCAAAGGAGGGAAAAAAAAGACAGAAAAAGAAACCAUUCAAAUGGCGCCAUACAUCCCUAUCUCUACAAUUUUCUCUUCUCUUACUCUCUCCUUUUUUUCAUGCAUGUCCACCUCAUAUAAACACUCUAGUCUACUUGUUCUCUUCACUCUUUUUUCGUCCUUCCUCUCCCACAUUUACCCUCCAAACAUCCAAUAUAUAUUUGCUUUAUUAAUUGUUCUUCAUUCAUUCUCUCUUCGCGAC